GACGAACGCUGGCGGCGUGCCUAAUACAUGCAAGUUGAGCGCUGAAGGUUGGUACUUGUACCAACUGGAUGAGCAGCGAACGGGUGAGUAACGCGUGGGGAAUCUGCCUUUGAGCAGGGGACAACAUUUGGAAACGAAUGCUAAUACCGCAUAAAAACUUUAAACACAAGUUUUAAGUUUGAAAGAUGCAAUUGCAUCACUCAAAGAUGAUCCCGCGUUGUAUUAGCUAGUUGGUGAGGUAAAGGCUCACCAAGGCGAUGAUACAUAGCCGACCUGAGAGGGUGAUCGGCCACAUUGGGACUGAGACACGGCCCAAACUCCUACGGGAGGCAGCAGUAGGGAAUCUUCGGCAAUGGACGAAAGUCUGACCGAGCAACGCCGCGUGAGUGAAGAAGGGUUUCGGAUCGUAAAACUCUGUUGGUAGAGAAGAACGUUGGUGAGAGUGGAAAGCUCACCAAGUGACGGUAACUACACAGAAAGGGACGGCUAACUACGUG
rnacentral:rRNA from 1 species